rnacentral:rRNA from 1 species
UGGGGAAUAUUGGACAAUGGGCGAAAGCCUGAUCCAGCCAUGCCGCGUGUGUGAAGAAGGCCUUUUGGUUGUAAAGCACUUUAAGUGGGGAGGAAAAGCUUAUGGUUAAUACCCAUAAGCCCUGACGUUACCCACAGAAUAAGCACCGGCUAACUCUGUGCCAGCAGCCGCGGUAAUACAGAGGGUGCAAGCGUUAAUCGGAAUUACUGGGCGUAAAGCGCGCGUAGGUGGUUAUUUAAGUCAGAUGUGAAAGCCCCGGGCUUAACCUGGGAACUGCAUCUGAUACUGGAUAACUAGAGUAGGUGAGAGGGGAGUAGAAUUCCAGGUGUAGCGGUGAAAUGCGUAGAGAUCUGGAGGAAUACCGAUGGCGAAGGCAGCUCCCUGGCAUCAUACUGACACUGAGGUGCGAAAGCGUGGGUAGCAAACAGGAUUAGAUACCCUGGUAGUCCACGCUGUAAACGCUGUCGAUUUGGGGGUUGGGGUUUAACUCUGGCGCCCGUAGCUAACGUGAUAAAUCGACCGCCUGGGGAGUACNGCCGCAAGGUUA